CAGAGAAUUUCAACAACUGUAUGUAUCGCUCUCCUAGUAGAAAAGAAUAAGAGAAUAUACAGAAAAUCUGUCACCAUUGCUUUUUCAGUUACCUCAAAUCCUUCAGAGUUGUUUGUAUUAGGAGGGAGGAAAAGGACAGCACUUUUGUCUAAAUGCCAGGUAUAACAGACAUACCCCAGAGUUGUGGCACCCGUUAAUAGAUCAAGCAAGCCUAUGCAACUGUGUUUUGAUCAGUGGAAAGGUUUCCUGGCAUACGAGAAUUGAAAUCACCUUUUGGGUCAUCACACCUCACUGGAGGUUUCUCUGGUUUAAUGAGCAACUCAGAAACCAUAGAAAGGACCAGAGGAAGGGGGUCAUUGUACAUUCUUAUAUUUGAAAGCCUCUCCAUAGCAUCUGCAAGAGGAUUCUUGGCACCUGCCUAGUUAAACCGGAUGUCCAAUGUUAUGU